GUAUAUCAUCAAUCACAUGGGGGCUAGGAUUAGAUAGGGCUGCCUGAGCUAACUCGUGAGCUACCCUAUUUGCUUGCCUCCGGCUGAACUCAACAUGAGAGUUCUGAAAUCUAUCAACUAGCAGCUGUUUACAAGCAGUGAUAAUACAUCCAAACUCGCUACUAUCUUCUAGACUAGAAUUGACACAAUCAACAACUUUUUUACAAUCAAGAACAAAAU
rnacentral:lncRNA from 1 species